AGGUGGAUGGCAGACAUGAAGCCAGUGCUGAAAAUGGUAAAGAUUCUGAAUUUGAAUGUUGAGACCAACGUCUUAUACAUGUAUGUAAGAUUUGUAAGAACAAAAAAUGUUCUUAAAGUAUAUCCGUGUUUUUAUGAACUAGUUUUGAUCAGUACAUUGCAUUUAUUACAAGUAGAGAUAUAUAAAUAGAUUUAUGAUAUGCUACUGAAUUAGAACAAUGAGUGAUGCAUAACAAUACCUAAAUCUUAUUGCUACAAUAUUUGUCAAUGUCAAAUGUAUAUAAACUCAUCAUAGUAUGGUAUUCUAAAUAUAAGGUACUGAUAUGUAAUUUUUCAACAAGGAGUGUUUCAAAAAUCAGGGAUCUUGUGAAAACAAGGCUUUUGUUUAAUGCAAUGUAAAUAUUAAAGAAAAGAGGAAAAUUAAUGUAUUUUUGUCUGAAUAAUGACCUGUUAAAAUGCCCGCCCGAUAACAAGUAUUUUAAUCCGUGAAAUGUAUUUAUGGAUAGAUCACUUUAUAUGUGCAGUUAGCCAGAAAGGAACAAAUCUUAUUUAAUCAUUUUUGAUAUAGGAAAGCUAUAACAGUAUGAAACCGAAUAUUAGGGUAGCAAGUAAAAGAUAGUAAGCUUUAGCAGUUUUUUAAAGCUUAAUUCGUUACAUUAAACCAGAAAAUUUGUUAAAGGAAGUUCUCGAUUAUUUCAAUGAUUUUGUAAACUAAUCAGUCAGGGUUUUAAAGAUAUCUCUAAUAGACUGCGUGGUUAUGCAAAACUCGUAUUGUACAAAUUCACUGUACAUAGAGAGAUACAAAAUGUAUGAGUAAAUAUUUUAAAAGUUUAAAAUUUAGCUGAAGUUAACAACUUUUUGCAAUACUUUGCACUUUGGUAAUUUAACUAUAUGCAAAAUUGCAUUGUUAGCGCUUUCGUGUGUAUAAUUCCAGCCAGAACUUUUUGAAACUAAUAUGAUCUUGUAACAUAGGUUUGUAUUAGCAAUGUCUUUGACGAGCUCAAAAAUGAGUGCUGAAAAAUCAUUCUUAAGAGUUAAAUUCAACCCUUAGAAUGUUAAAUAUAGGCAUAUUGAACAUUGCAUUGUGAGCACCCAAAUGUGAACAUUUGUAUUAUAGGUUUAUAUUAACAGUUUCUUCGACGAGUUUGAAAAUCAGUGCCGAUCAAUUCUGGUUAAAAACGUUAUGCCCUUAAGUAAUAUUGUUACCUAGGAAAAUCACGUUGUUAGUGAUCUCAUGGGUACAAUUCUUGCAAGAUAGUUAUGCAAUCUAUAUUAUAGGUUUAUAUCCUCAAUGUCUUGAACAAAUUUAAAAAUCAUUGCUGAUAAAAAGAAAUAAUUGUCAUGCCCCUUGGGUAUAUAUAGAUUAUUACAUUUGUUUCUACUGUAAUGUGAACAAGUCGUGGAAAUAUAUACUAUAUAAUGGAAAUCAGAUUGAAUUCGCCCUAAAGCCUUCAUGUCUUUAAAAUAUUCAUGAAAUGUUGAAACAAAAACAAAAAUCUUCAGUAAUUGCACUCGUACCUGAAAAGAUAAAUAUUUGCAAUAUGGAGGGCAUUUUACUGCAUUUCUUUUUAUAAUACAAAAUAUAUUUUAUUAUCUAAUGUAUUUAAAAUCAAAUGUGUGCAAUUGCUAGGAUGUUACUUCAGCACUUGGUACCUUGUUUUUUCCUCGUCUGGAUUACUCAACAGAAACUCACAAACUGUCUUAAAAUGAAUGUAAUACAUGUACAUAUGCAGUUAUGAUCUUAGUUAAUGCAGUCUAGAUUAUUACAUAUCCAGUGUCAUUGGAAAUUUAGGCCAGUUUAAUUUUGAUGCUAUCUGCAUCAUUACAACACAUUUUUAUGUUUAUAGAUAUUUUUUUAUUUUUUGUAUAUUAAUUUUGUUAUUUAAAACAUGCACACAUAUUGUAAUGUUCAGUUCUCCCUAUUUUAUAUGUUUUAAUUUGAUAUUGUCUUUAUAAUCAUUAUCACUAAUAUUAGCCCUUUGCUGAAAUAUUGAAGCCAAUAUUUAAUUGAAAUAUUUUUUUUUACAAAAUCUAUUUAUAGAACAUGAAUGCAUUUGAAUCUUGUGCUUUGACUUGGACUUGUAUACUUGAAUUUAGUUUAAAUCAUCACUAUACAUAUUUUCUUUUCUAAACAUGAGCAAUUCGUGAAUACUGUUAAUUUUUAAAUCAUGAAUUUUUUACCCCUGUUCAUCCUCUUUCACAAUAGCUGAGGUAUAAAAAUGUGAAACAAUCUAGAUUUUUCUUUCAUAUUAUCAGAACCUUUAGAGUAUCUUUGUGAUAUUUAAGUUUGCAUACACAUAUUAUUUAUAAAGGCCAGUAAAUAGUACAUUUCAGCACAAUCCAAAGUAUGGUCAUUGUACAGUACUAGUGUUUCAUAAUAUUCACUGAGUGGGAAACCUGCAAUAAAAAUUGAGAAAUAUUUUAAUGAUCUUACCUGUUCAAAGUAACAAUUUUAUCAAUGUUGUCUGUUGUUUACUUAUACUUUAAUGUGUUAACGACAGUAUUUUUGUUUUAAACUAAUCUUUCUUUAUAAUAUUUCCAUUUGUAUAUACUUUUAUAAUGCUAUUGUUUUGUAGAUAUGUCAAAUUUCCAAAAGAUGUACAAUUUUGUACAUAGUACAUAGUACAUGGCACCUUAAAAAAAUGUUGUAUACUAUGCAGAAGUAGAAGCUUUGUAAUUUUACUAAUAUAAUUUAUUGUGCAAUAUCUUAAUAAAGAAUUUUU
rnacentral:lncRNA from 1 species